ACUGUGGCAACGGAGGACGCGGCCGGUGCCGGGUGACGGUUGCAGGCGGCGGUUGCAGGCGGCGGUAAGCUAUGGAUAUGGAUAUAGAUAGUAUUUCCUCAGUCUCUUCUCUGCAGUCCCUUGCCAAGCUACUCAGUGAUGCUCAAGAAGAAGAUGACAACGACGACGACGACGACGGGGUGAGUCUUCCACAAGAAAUGCUGCUGCUUCUACAUGUUGUACCACAGUCUCACCUUGUUAACUAAGAAGCAAAUUUGGCUUUUCCCAGGGUGAGUAAAGAAAGCCUUAUGCAGCUUUGGACUGACUGAAACAGCUAGAAGGUAUUUGUAGGGUAAGAAGCUCCUGAGGGAGAAAGUAAGGAAGAUGCCCCAGGAAUAGGAGGCGAGAUUGUGAGCAUGGAAUGGGAGGAAGAUUUAUUUUCUCAGCCUAAAGGAAAUGAGAACAUGCAGUUGAAAGAGUGUUAGAUACUUCAGACUUCCCCCUACUUUUCCCUGAAGUCUGCCAGAGAUGAAGGCAAUUACAACUAGAUACAAAGGACUUCAUAUGAAGGAAAAAGUUGCUGCUUAACUUCUGAGUAGAGACUAAAAUAUCCAGAGGCAACUGAGUGUGCUAAUUCUGCAUGUCAGACACUGAAGAACUGUAGAGAUAAUUGAUCACUGAAGUACAAUAUUAUCCCUUA